rnacentral:tRNA from 1 species
UGCCUUAUAGUUAAUAAAUAAUAUCAAACUGCAAUUUUGAAGUAGAUCAUAGUUUAAGGCUU